UACGUAGGGCGCAAGCGUUGUCCGGAAUUAUUGGGCGUAAAGAGCUCGUAGGCGGUGUGUCGCGUCUGCCGUGAAAGCCCGGGGCUUAACUCCGGGUCUGCGGUGGAUACGGGCAGACUAGAGGCAGGUAGGGGAGAACGGAAUUCCCGGUGUAGCGGUGAAAUGCGCAGAUAUCGGGAGGAACACCGGUGGCGAAGGCGGUUCUCUGGAACGCAACUGACGCUGAGACGCGAAAGCGUGGGGAGCAAACAGG
rnacentral:rRNA from 1 species